GGAUGCGAUCAUACCAGCACUAAAGCACCGGAUCCCAUCAGAACUCUGAAGUUAAGCGUGCUUGGGUGAGAGUUGUACUAGGAUGGGUGACCUCCUGGGAAGUCCUUGUGUUGCAUUCC
rnacentral:rRNA from 1 species